rnacentral:rRNA from 1 species
GACGAACGCUGGCGGCGUGCUUAACACAUGCAAGUCGAACGGUAAGGCCCUUCGGGGUACACGAGUGGCGAACGGGUGAGUAACACGUGGGUGAUCUGCCCUGCACUUCGGGAUAAGCCUGGGAAACUGGGUCGAAUACCGGAUAGGACCACUGCCUGCAUGGGUGGUGGUGGAAAGCUUUUGCGGUGUGGGAUGGGCCCGCGGCCGAUCAGCUUGUUGGUGGGGUGAUGGCCUACCAAGGCGACGACGGGUAGCCGGCCUGAGAGGGUGACCGGCCACACUGGGACUGAGAUACGGCCCAGACUCCUACGGGAGGCAGCAGUGGGGAAUAUUGCACAAUGGGCGCAAGCCUGAUGCAGCGACGCCGCGUGAGGGAUGACGGCCUUCGGGUUGUAAACCUCUUUCAGCACCGACGAAGCGCAAGUGACGGUAGGUGCAGAAGAAGGACCGGCCAACUACGUGCCAGCCGCCGCGGUAA